UGGGGAAUCUUGGACAAUGGGGGCAACCCUGAUCCAGCCAUGCCGCGUGUGUGAAGAAGGCCUUCGGGUUGUAAAGCACUUUCAGCAGGGAGGAAGGCUUACCCCUAAUACGGGUGAGUACUUGACGUUACCUGCAGAAGAAGCACCGGCUAAUUUCGUGCCAGCAGCCGCGGUAAUACGAAAGGUGCGAGCGUUAAUCGGAAUUACUGGGCGUAAAGCGCGCGUAGGCGGUGUGUUAAGUCGGAUGUGAAAGCCCAGGGCUCAACCUUGGAAUUGCAUCCGAUACUGGCACGCUAGAGUGCAGUAGAGGGAGGUGGAAUUUCCGGUGUAGCGGUGAAAUGCGUAGAGAUCGGAAGGAACACCAGUGGCGAAGGCGGCCUCCUGGACUGACACUGACGCUGAGGUGCGAAAGCGUGGGGAGCAAACAGG
rnacentral:rRNA from 1 species